rnacentral:lncRNA from 1 species
CAGGAGACUCCAACAGCUGGGCAGGCGGCGUCCUUGCCCGUCCUCCACGGGCGAGAUGCGCUGUCCACCUCCGCCCUCCUCUUGCUCCACCUGGCCAGAGGCCUGGGCUGCGCGCUCCCCGCGCUCCUGCGCAGGCUCUACUGGGAGCCCCUCCAGGGCGCAGUCCGGACCUGACGGGCAAGCCCUGACCUGCCUUUCAUCCCGCUGAUGCUCGCGCCCAGCUCCCUGUGAAUACCCACUGAUUGCCCCCGGAGUCUCCCCGUUAGGCCCUCCCGCACCUCUUACCCCUUCCUCCCCUUCCUGGCCUCCCCAGCUCCCUCACCCGCCUUCUAGAAGCAUCCUCCCCCUUCUCACCCACCUCUCUACUCCUCCCUUCCCGACUUCCUCAAUUCCCACCUCCCCCCCAAAUUCCAGUCCUCUCCCUGGGAAAGAGAAAGCGGCCGGGGUCCCACCCUGGCUGUGUGUGGCCCGCGGUGGGGUGGGGCAGCCUGCCAGCCGCCAGGUAGCGCGAAUGGAGCGCGGGGCGCCGCGCGCUGCGGGCGGGUGAAGCCGGAAUCGGGGCGGCGGCUCGGCCCCCGGCCCCCGGCCCCGGGGAGCCCAGAGCGACUAGUCGGGCAGGAAAAGAAUGACGGUGACGUGACCACUCUGACCCCGAGGACUCUCUGGGCUCUGGCGGGCGCUGGGCUCGGCGGAUCUGAGUGCGUAGGAAGGGCGAUGGGCGCUCAGUCCCCGAGGAUCACCUGCGGGACCCUUUGGGGGCACCUGCCGGAGCAGCUGGCCCUGCGACGGGUCCCACCGCGCCCUCAGCAGCAAGGCGGUUCUCCCUUUAUAGAGGUUUUACGUGCGUUUGUGGGGGGUGUUCUCAAAACAAUACAAAUAAGCUUCCAUUGUCACCGAUCAAAAUAGUAAGGGCUUUUUAAAAGGAAACUGUUUAGGGCUGACAGAGCUACAGAGGAAGUGGAGUGAUCCGGGCACAGUCAGGGACGGGGGAGGGGGGCGGAACUGGUCUAGCUGUUUUGGCAAAAUGUAAUAAUACAGAGUUAGAGUCUUUGAAUGCUCACACUGUUUGAUAUUGUGGUUCUAGUAGUGGUCAUGCAUCAGAAGAAAUAAUCCCAAAUAUUCCCCCAAAGCUUUUAUGGACACAGACAUUCUUUGCACUGAAAAAUGAGAAAAAAAAUUAUCUAAAAUUGGAAUCAACUAGUUGGGCACUGAUAAAUACAUUAUGGUGUAUCCACAGUUGUGAUAUCAUUCUGUCAUUGAUAACAUUUCUGAAAAGUUUUCGAUAGUAUAAGGAAAUUUUCUCAUUCUGUAAAAGGCACAAGGUGAGUUUGUAUACACAAGAUAAUCACAAGUAUAUAAACUAAGCAUAGUGGAAAGACUGGAAGAAAUACAUUUUAAAUAGGAAUGGGUGCUUUUUUUUUCUUUUGAAAAAACUUUUUUAUGAACUAUUUCAGAUACAUAUCAAGGUAUAGAGAAGAACUUACCCAUCAAUAAUCAUGGGGAAUGGAGCAACCUCACUGCUGAAGCCCCUUAGGGACCCUCUUCACCACCUUCCUCACCCUCAUCCCUGAGUGCCGCGAUGAACAUUCUGGUCUGUGUCUUCUUGUGCACAUGUGAGUUUCUAUGGAGUGCACCUAGCAUUGGCCACAGACAUUGCAAGGGAUGCCUAACUUCAGUGCUACAAAUUACUGCCCAGUCGUUCUCCAAAGCGAUCUUGCCAGCAGCAGAUGAGUCAUUGUAGUAACACUCCCAGCCCUCAACACUGCCUCUCAUCACGUCAGUUCUUUUCCAGUGUAAUGGGUGUGGUUACUUCUCAUGGUUUAAAUUUGCAUUUCCCUAAUUACCAUGGGGUUAGAGGUCAGGCAUUUGUUCCUAUGUUUAUUGGUAUUUUUUAUACUGUAAAGUCUUGAUCAUAACUUUUUCCUAUUUUUCUAUUGGUUGUUGACAUUUUCUUGUUGGUUUUUAAGAAUUCUUUAUAAAUUUUGUAUCUUAAUCUUUCAUCAGAUGGAUGAGUUGCAAAUAUUGUCAUUCACUCCAUGGCUUAUCUUAUAACUAUUUGUGAUGUCUUUCAAGACACAGAAAAUUUACAUCUGCACAUAUUCUAAUUUACCUCUUUCUUUAAAGUUUGUACUUUGGUUGACAUGGUUAAAGUACCUUUUCCUCUUCCAAGAUAUAAGUUUCCCUACACUUUCUUCUAAAAGUUUUUAAAUUUUGUCGUUUUAUAUUUGGUCUUACAUCUAUCUGGAUUUGAUUCUUUGUAAAGGUGUGGUGGAGAGAUCAUCUUUCUCCUUGGAUAAUAAUUGUCAAAGCAUUUAUUGGACAGCUCAUCCUUUUCCAGUCAUCUGCAAUGCUGGCUUUGCCAUAAAUCAAAUUUCCCAGUAAGUGGUGGUCUGUUUCUGGGUUCUCUAUUUUGUUACAUUGUUCUGUCCUCUAGCAAUACUGCACUCUCACAUACUAUAACUUGAUAAUAAGUCUUGAUUUCUGGAUGAGCAUGUAUUCAUACAUUUUUUUUUCAAGACUAUCUCAACUAUUUGGAGUUCUCUGCAUUUUCAUACAUAUUUUAGAAUUAGCUUGUCAGUUCUAUAAACAUUUUGUUGGGAUUUUGAUUUAAACAAUGACUUCCUAGGUUAAUUUAGGGAAACUGACAUCUUCAUGAUAUUGAGUCUUCCUAUUGAUAACCAUGGAAUAUGUCUCAUUUAUUUAGGUCUUCUUCAAAAUCCUUCAAUAAAGUUUUUCAU